UACGUAGGGUGCGAGCGUUAAUCGGAAUUACUGGGCGUAAAGCGUGCGCAGGCGGUUCGUUGUGUCGGCGGGGAAAGCCCCGGGCUCAACCUGGGAAUGGCCGUUGAAACUGGCGAACUGGAGUGUGGCAGAGGGGGGUGGAAUUCCGCGUGUAGCAGUGAAAUGCGUAGAGAUGCGGAGGAACACCGAUGGCGAAGGCAGCCCCCUGGGCUAACACUGACGCUCAGGCACGAAAGCGUGGGGAGCAAAAGGG
rnacentral:rRNA from 1 species